AACAAAUUGAAUGAGGGAUGUUUCUCAAGAGCAGGGUGGGGUGUGUGUUGUGGAAGGAAAAGAAGAGAGGAAGAGCGAAAGAGAGUGUUAGAAGGGCACGUAGUGAAGUUGAGAUUUCAAUGUUUUCCCAGCCAAGAAAAACGAAUACCCAGAAACCAACAAACAAAGCAACUAUGAGAGAAUAAAUUUGUCAAGAGCCAUAGAGGAGCAACAUAUGCACAGAAGUAGGGGGAUACAGACAACAAACCUGUAAG
rnacentral:misc_RNA from 1 species